UGCCCGCGGUAGCCUUCCUGAGCCGUGAUCUUUGUCUCGGGAAUGAUCGUCGCCCCUGCAGCAGCAAUUGGCUGGUCGAGCAGGCACUGAGUCAUGGCAGCGGCGCACACCGCUACUGCCGUGACCAGGCGCUCCCAUUAUUUGGGCGCACAUGUGUGACAAAAGGCAUACAAGUCAGAAACCAUGAAGAAUUGUGGAAUCUUUCCAUCCGUAUUAGGAAAAACUUGGAUAUUUUAAUGGCACUGAUGGUCCGUCAACCGAACGGUAGAGCAAACAGCAGCACGCCUCCUACGCACCCUUAGCGGGUACGUUACUCAAAGUUUGCCAGCACUGGCAUGAUGUCGUUUAGCCAUGCCACAGACUCAGGCCUCGAAUACCACGUUUUGUUCUCCGGCAGCAUUGUGCCCGACUUGAUCAUUGACGCCCGGAUAUAAUGUAAGCAUAUAGUGAAAACUAAACUUCUGUGCAAAAUCGU